GUUAUUAUCCAUUACUUACCUCUCUUUAAUUUUUACUUUUAAUAAAAUUCAUAACUCUCAUAAUUUUUAUGUCUAUAACCUCCAAAUUAAAUUUAUAAGUUUGUAAUAUCUUAUGAUAUUCCUUUAUUUUGCCUAUAAAUUCAUAGUUUUAUGAAGAUUCACAUUUACAAUUAUCCUUUCUCUUUUCAUCAUAUAGGUUUGGUUUGUAACAAAAAAGAAGUACAUGAAGUUGGUUGCAUAUAAUGAAGAGUUUGACAUAUGGAUCAAAACAUGAUGGCGGAUCUCGUUGCAAAGGAAGAUGACAAAA